AGAGUUUGAUCGUGGCUCAGGAUGAACGCUGGCGGCGUGCCUAAUACAUGCAAGUCGAGCGAACUGAUUAGAAGCUUGCUUCUAUGACGUUAGCGGCGGACGGAUGAGUAACACGUGGGCAACCUGCCUGUAAGACUGGGAUAACUUCGGGAAACCGGAGCUAAUACCGGAUAGGAUCUUCUCCUUCAUGGGAGAUGAUUGAAAGAUGGUUUCGGCUAUCACUUACAGAUGGGCCCGCGGUGCAUUAGCUAGUUGGUGAGGUAACGGCUCACCAAGGCAACGAUGCAUAGCCGACCUGAGAGGGUGAUCGGCCACACUGGGACUGAGACACGGCCCAGACUCCUACGGGAGGCAGCAGUAGGGAAUCUUCCGCAAUGGACGAAAGUCUGACGGAGCAACGCCGCGUGAGUGAUGAAGGCUUUCGGGUCGUAAAACUCUGUUGUUAGGGAAGAACAAGUACGAGAGUAACUGCUCGUACCUUGACGGUACCUAACCAGAAAGCCACGGCUAACUACGUGCCAGCAGCCGCGGUAAUACGUAGGUGGCAAGCGUUAUCCGGGAUUAUUGGGCGUAAAGCGCGCGCAGGCGGUUUCUUAAGUCUGAUGUGAAAGCCCACGGCUCAACCGUGGAGGGUCAUUGGAAACUGGGGAACUUGAGUGCAGAAGAGAAAAGCGGAAUUCCACGUGUAGCGGUGAAAUGCGUAGAGAUGUGGAGGAACACCAGUGGCGAAGGCGGCUUUUUGGUCUGUAACUGACGCUGAGGCGCGAAAGCGAGGGGAGCAAACAGGAUUAGAUACCCUGGUAGUCCACGCCGUAAACGAUGAGUGCUAAGUGUUAGAGGGUUUCCGCCCUUUAGUGCUGCAGCUAACGCAUUAAGCACUCCGCCUGGGGAGUACGGUCGCAAGACUGAAACUCAAAGGAAUUGACGGGGGCCCGCACAAGCGGUGGAGCAUGUGGUCUAAUUCGAAGCAACGCGAAGAACCUUACCAGGUCUUGACAUCCUCUGACAACUCUAGAGAUAGAGCGUUCCCCUUCGGGGGACAGAGUGACAGGUGGUGCAUGGUUGUCGUCAGCUCGUGUCGUGAGAUGUUGGGUUAAGUCCCGCAACGAGCGCAACCCUUGAUCUUAGUUGCCAGCAUUUAGUUGGGCACUCUAAGGUGACUGCCGGUGACAAACCGGAGGAAGGUGUGGAUGACGUCAAAUCAUCAUGCCCCUUAUGACCUGGGCUACACACGUGCUACAAUGGAUGGUACAAAGGGCUGCAAGACCGCGAGGUCAAGCCAAUCCCAUAAAACCAUUCUCAGUUCGGAUUGUAGGCUGCAACUCGCCUACAUGAAGCUGGAAUCGCUAGUAAUCGCGGAUCAGCAUGCCGCGGUGAAUACGUUCCCGGGCCUUGUACACACCGCCCGUCACACCACGAGAGUUUGUAACACCCGAAGUCGGUGGAGUAACCGUAAGGAGCUAGCCGCCUAAGGUGGGACAGAUGAUUGGGGUGAAGUCGUUUACAAGGAAGCU
rnacentral:rRNA from 1 species